GACGAACGCUGGCGGCGUGCUUAACACAUGCAAGUCGAACGGAAAGGCCCUGCUUUUGUGGGGUGCUCGAGUGGCGAACGGGUGAGUAACACGUGAGUAACCUGCCCUUGACUUUGGGAUAACUUCAGGAAACUGGGGCUAAUACCGGAUAGGAGCUCCUGCUGCAUGGUGGGGGUUGGAAAGUUUCGGCGGUUGGGGAUGGACUCGCGGGUUAUCAGCUUGUUGGUGGGGUAGUGGCUUACCAAGGCUUUGACGGGUAGCCGGCCUGAGAGGGUGACCGGCCACAUUAGGACUGAGGUACGGCCCAGACGCCUACGUGAGGCAACGGUGGGGAGUAUUACACAAUGGGCGGGAGCCUGAGGCAGCGGCGCCGCGUGCGGGAUGACGGCCUUCGGGUUGUAAACCGCUUUCGCCUGUGACGAAGCGGGAGUGACGGUAAUGAGUAAAGAAGCACCGGCUAACUACGUG
rnacentral:rRNA from 1 species